UGUCAAUAAGAUGACUUUCAAAACACUGAUUUCAGACAUUACACAAGAAUAUUAUCUGACUAAAGAGAGAGAGACUAAUAAGGUAUAUAGGAAGUUAGCAAUGACAGAUAAUUUAAAUAUGUAAUUCUGAGCUUUCAGUUAAAUGACACAAAUAAGGGUCACAUGAAACAUUUGUUAUCUAUGGAGAUCAGAGAAUAAAAGGCCUCAUUACCUAUAUAUCAUACUAUCUGCAAAUGUAUGAUUAUGGAUCCAAAUAGCAAACUGUCUACUUUGGGGGCUGUCAAGCUUUAAAAACACACACCAGGAGGUCUCUACUUUAUUUCUUAAAUUCAGACCUAAAAUAUCCAGAAAAUGGUGACAUCUAUUUUUGAAGUAAUGAUAAACACUUCUCUGAUCUGGUUAUUAAAAUAAUAUCCUAAACAAGAAAUUCCAGCAUUGUAACAAUGAAAAUGUUAACUGUAGUAAAACAAAAUCAGUACUAAUGUGAAACUCUCAUAUAAUGGAAGACAAGCUGCCUUAAAUCAGUCUUUACAGUUCUUUCAAUCUUUCCCUUAGUGGUACCCAUUAAUGACAAACAGCAUUUCUUAGAGUGAAAUACCAUCCCACCACAAAUGCAUUCAUCACGCUCUAAUCAUGUUCACACAAACAUAAGUGUGCAUUCAUACAGUAUUGAUUUUAUUUUCUCUAUCAUAUUCAUGAUGCUAAUCACCAAAACAGUGAAAGAGUAUUAGAUUUGUUUUCACACUGCUAUAACAGUAACUUACUAUUUAAAAUGUCUCACUUUAGAAAUUGCUUUUUAAGAGUUAAAAUAAGCAGCCUGUAACACAGGCAUCUAAGUGAAACUCUUUUAAUCCAGUUAUUCACAACCAAUAUUGAAAGAUAAAUACUUAAGAGAAGACUAACAUAAAACGAUCAAAAUUAUUUCCAGAAUUCUGAUGUAUUCUUCAAUGAUGGUAAGAAUUCCAGAGCCUCAGGAUAGGUAAGCCUCGUGCUACCCUAAAAAGACAUAUUUUCUACUUUGUGCAGAAAGAUGAACUUUUCAUUACACAUUACACAUCUCCAUAUCUAGUACAUUAGUGAACUAGCAGUGGAUUCAUAAUAGCCUUGAAGAACCGCAUCUUUAACUCCUAAAAUAAGUUCCUACAAAUGGUAACUUAAAACUGAAAAGGGGAAGAUGAGGGUGCAAAGACGUACUUUCAUCGUCGUGUGACACAGGAAGUCGGACUUUUAACACAUCCUUCCUUUUUCUCUUAAAAUGUUACUCAGGCUGAAGACAAGUGGCCGUUUGAGAAUUAGGCCCUCUUUGCAAGUCUUUAAUAUCGGCGGAAUGAAUGGGAGUUUUAGAAAUGAUAAACCCUUCCGUCCCAUAACACCUAACCCCAACCCCUAACAUCUGUAGCUCAGACACCUCUCUGCAUCUUUACACCCUUCUCCUCCAUUGGCCAGGCCACCAAAGAAGUACUUCUUUGACUUCUUGAUCCCUUCUCAGUUCACACUCAUGCAUUCAUUAUCAUUCUCUUUCUCCUUUCUCUUUCUCUCCCUCCUUCCCUCUCUCUCUCUCAAACGCGCACACACACCCGCGGGCACACACACAGCGUCUUCACGAUGCGUACAGAACUGUCCUGAUCCCAUUAGCGUAGCCCAUCAAGAAGGGCUUCCCCACCGUCCUCGCACCAAAUUUCAACACAUGCCCACUCCCCUUCUUGGACCUCUUGUCCCGACUCCCAGUCCCGCUCCCACUGGCCGGGGGACUCGGGGAACGCGGAGAGGGAGGGUAGAGACUCUGAAUACUUCUGUCCCCACCGGCUCGCCGUCCCCUCGCCCCCGCCCCCGCCCCGGCGGCGUUACCCGCCCCCUUCCCGCUCUUUACCUGCCAACAGCCUCCGAGGCCAGCCGCUGGACAGGCCACGCCCACAGCUACGUCAGGGAGCAGGAGGAGGAGCGGCUGGUGGGAAGGGAGCGGACUGGGGCUGCAUCACCUGAUCCGGCGCCUGAAGCGUCUUGCUGCCAUUUUGGGUGCUGGUACCACUACAAUUGCUGACCAGUUCUCCAGGAUCUUGGAAAAUAAGGUGGAUCUCAAGAGAAGAGAUGGACCCAAAUCCCUGUCUUGCUUUCGAAUCAGGCUUCCCAGAAUACGUGCACUAGGCGCAUGCCAAGAAAAUGCUCCUUCUUUGAAAAAUACCUUCCACAUCUGUAAUACCUGUGCUGUCAUGCCGUUGCCAAAGUAAAGAACUAUCAAGACGAUACAUCAACAUGGAAGGUCAAAAGCCCUGACAUGUAAAUACAAGAAGAUGGACCUGAAUGAAUUAACAGAAAGCAUCUCCUAUUUUCACUUUCACAUAUUGUUUCUUAAUUUUAAAAAUAAAAGCUAGUGUAAAAAGCAAUAAAUUUGACACAAAUUAUUAGUACAAGUCUUCAAACUUUAUGCCUUCAAAUAAAUUCACGUUCUUGAUUUUCAUAAUGAGACAGUAUAGUGUUACUCAAAGUAUAGUCUAUGGACAGGUGCCAGUCCAAAAGCUGUUACUAGUGCGUGAAAAGAUAAGCAUAAAAAGUGCAAGUAUUUAGAAACUUUUAUAGCAGUUUGACUCUGCCUGAGUAUCUCUUAUUGUAUUUUAUUAAUGUAUCAGUUGGCAUGGCUUAGAAAUUUAACAACAAAAAAUAAAUGGUCCUUCACCAUAGAUAGCUUGAGAAGCACUGACAGAAAUAACUAAGAUCAAUAGACAUUACCCAAACUUAAAUUAAUAGUUUAAACUUUUUUCUUAUUAAUUUUGUUUUUUUAAUCAGAGCUGCAAUACCUGCUGUGAGUACAUAAUCAAAUUGAGUAGAACAGAAAGAUUUUGUUAACCUAGUGUCAUUUUUUACAACACCAUGAUCAGUAAUAUAAUUUCUAAAUACUAUUUAAACAAAGUUUGUAUCUUCUUGUAUGUAUCCCUAACACCUACCACACUCACAAAAUAGGUACUAAAUAAAAAUGUGUUCAGUUAAUGGCACAUCAGCGUGGACUGCCCAUAAUCAAUCAGGUCAAUCAAAUCUUUGCUAUCCAACUCAACUCACAGAAUGACCUCAAGUUCUGUCUCUUCUAUAUGCCUUUCUGCUCCUUUAGGAAUGUCUGUGAGCUCCAUAUGAAUGUAUCAUGGAGGUUUAGCUUCCAACUCUCUGCCCAGAACUUUGCACAAUACCUGGCACCUAGUAGUUAAAUAAUUGUUGAAUGAAUGAUGAAUAAAUGCUGUCUGGCAGUAAAAUAACUGUAAGUGGAGAAUAAGAUCAGGAAAGGGGAAAAGCCAAGAACUGUAUCAAUUAGCUAUAGCUACAAAAAUGAAACAUAACAAACUCUCUCAAAAUUCACUGACUUAAAGCAACAAUAAUAGAGAUCUUUAGUGGUCAGCUGAAGGUUAACUAAUCCAGGCUGGGCUCAGCUAGGGCUGUUCAGCUCUACUCUAUGUGACUCUUGUCUUGGGCAUGUUCUUCUCAGGUGCAAGAGAGCAUACUCAGUCAUGUAAGUGCUUUUCAAGCCUUUGAUUGCAUCACAACUGCUAAAAUCUCAUUGGCCAAAGCAAGUCACGCGAUCCAUCCCAGAGCCAGGGGGGUGGGGAAAUACUCCAUAACUGCAGUGAGAGGAUGCUGCAAAAUUACUGCAAAGGAAUUGGAUGUAUAAUCUUAUUUCUGGGGAAGGAAUGAAGAGUUGGAACAAUAACCCAGUCCACCACACUGCAGCAGGCAGAACAAUGACCCUCCCCCAAAGAAGUCCACGUGCUAAUCCCCAGAACCUGGGAAUAUGUUACCUUACAUGGCAAAAGGGACUCUGUAGAAGUGAUUAAAUUAAGGAUCUUGAUAUAGGGAGAUUAUCCAGGUGAGCCCAAUG